GUUCUUAAUCAUGCGCGUAACCCCGAGAGAGAUGAGAAUAAUCCUGUGACGCGCUUUACAGAGCGUGUUGUAUUCUCAUAAAUUACUGGCGAAGGAAACGCAGAUGGUAGUUAGAACCAUCGUUGCGUCUCUCAUUUUCUCCUAGUUUUCUUAUUUCAAUCCAAUAAGCAAUCAAGGGAAUCAAAAUGGCAUCACGAGACAAGAAACCGGCCAAACCAUCCAGCAGUCGUGCGGCCGGGAUACGCACUCUCUCCGAUCUGAAUCGACACUCGGGCCCCGAUUCCGACAGUGACGAUGAUGCUCCUCAAGAGUACUACAC
rnacentral:misc_RNA from 1 species